rnacentral:lncRNA from 1 species
UUAACUUCCACAUAUGGUGCAUUAGUUAUGAUUGUUUCAUGUGAGCCAUAGGCUAUAACUAUUGUAUAUUCUAGAUUUCAAGUUCAUUGUUGAUAACUCUUAAGAGAGCAUGAAAAGUUCAUCAAGGAACUACUCAACGAAAUAACAUGCCUCCAAAAUAAAUAGCAACGAGGAAGAGAAAAGGCUAAGAGAUUGACAAAGUUAUAAAUAAUGUAUAAGCAUUGUUCACCAAUUUCAUCUAAAGAACAAGAAGAGGGAUUAUGUGUUCUUUGUUUAUUUUGGAGUGGUAGAUGAGUAAAGCCAAUGACGUUAAAGACAUGCUUCGUGGGAGACAACUCAUAUGAAGAAAUUUGGGGUUUCAAUUAUAUCGACCAUUUUAAAAAUAUCUUUCAUUAGUUUAAAGAAUGGUUAAUUGUUCAAAUGGAUCAUAUUAUAUAUGUGAAGUCUAAAAAAUAAACCGGUACAAAAAACAUAGAUUCUAUCAUAUAAUUUGAGAUUCUUCGUAUUUUUUGACCUCCUAUUUUUCCUUUAAAGAUAAAUUUCAGAAAAGUGAC